CCAGUUUCCUGAAACAUCAAAAAUUUUUUCAGAAUAGAAAGCACUGGUAAUUUGUUGUUGUCUAUUUCAUGAUUUUACCAGCCCUAACAAAAAGAACCCAUUACCAUUAUACAAUUUAUAACGGUCAUGUUUUACUUUUGCAAUGACAACAAUUUCUUUGUAAAAUGUAAGUGAAUGUUAACGGUGCUGCGGUUAUUCUCUCACUAACUUCCCUCCCUUCCAUUGACUCAAAUUUACGUCAAGAAUGUUUGUAUGUACAUUUGUACAUUUUAUAUGUGCAAACAAAAUUAUAUUUAUUAUAUUUUGUUAAAUAAUGCAGUUAUUCAUUGUUUUGUUUUUAAUUUUAUUUAUUUACUUUUUUUCCUGUUUCAACUGAGUUAAGUAAAUAAUCUUGAACAAAAUCCUGUCAAAAAUUGUUUUUGGUUUGUUAACUACAUUGUAACGAAUUGCUGUAAAAACUACAGCGUUAUUUUACAGAAGCUGACUGUUUUUUUAAAUAAUACAGAAUAUUGCUGUAAAGUGCAAUGCAUUCUGGGGUCACGUGACGGAUUAACUCAUAUGUACAGAAUAUUGCUGUAAAUUUCAAAUCUACAAUGGCGGGAUGAUCUUCAACAGUCGAGAUUGGGGUAAAUGCGCAAAAUGAGUGAUUCACACCUGUGGUAAGUCUUAUUUAGUAUUUUUUUCCAUAUUUCGUAACUAUCAUACUGGUAAUGUUAUAUAGAGGUUUAUACAUUCGCGUUUCAAAUUGGUAACCCGGAUUCAACCUCCAUCCGCGGGGACCGAAGGAGUCUUGCGCGGGGUUUCAGCAGCGCCGUCGCGGUAAAAUUUCAAACAUUCUCCGUCGCUAUAGCACCUGAUGACAGAAGUUGUUCAUGUUAUUUAUAGUUUUUGUACAAAUCAGGAGCGAAGUCGGUAUGUGACAAACUACAGUUCAUUGUAUUAGUAAAUUGACGGUUGUUUUUUUAAUGUUGAACAUCGCGCCCGCCGUAGACUCGGUAUAAGUGACAGUUGGGAUACCACACUCGGUUGUGAUUAUUUUGUGGUGUAAUUCAAAUUUGCAAAUGCAGUCAUCCGUUAAAUCGAGAGACCAAAUUAAAACGAGUCACCGAAGCUUGAGGUAAGUCGAUGUUCACGGAGGAUAUCCCGGUAAAGUGAUUAAUGUACGUUACCAGCUAGAUAUACAGUUUAUGUAACGGAGGCCAGAUGAGAGCUGUAGAAAAAGACGUUACCGACACCCUCAUCGUUAGAGCAGGACUGUCUCCCAAAUAGGAUCGAGGUUCGAGGGUGGGAGUGAGACGGCCCGUUACAAAUACCAGUGUGACAAUCUCUUCACCGUGACAUCCCUAACGUUAAUGGCUUACAUUUCUGUAUAAGUACGGUUUUAAGUGUAAGUUACUCUGUGUAAUUUGCUUAGAGUUUGUUUGUAGAGUCACUUAUACUAAAAUGUAGUUUAAAUGUAAAAAUCUUAAAAAUAAAAGUCUAUAGUAACUAUUAACUAUUGUCACAUGUGAUAUUGUUUGUUUUAGGACACACUUGCAGGCCACUGGAUGCUGACUACUGAAGGUUAGGUUGUGUGUGACUGUGCUCAGCACAGCUUCAUGUCUGGCCUUCCCACUCUGUUCAUAGCGUGUUACAUAUUCAAUCUUGAGUACCAGGAUGGGGCAGCGUGUAUCUUGGAGUCCACUGAAAGAUAUUAAUCCAGAGAGUGGAACAAGAAGAAGCGUCAUCUAAAAUGCCAGGAUACAGAAGAAACAGGUUGCAGUGAACCCACAUGUUGCCGCUCUUCUAAAGACAAAGAUGAAUUUUCAGUGUAAUCGAUGAAAAUUCUAGCUACUUGUUGUGCUCUGAUGGAUCAAGAUGUGGACGGUUUUACAGACUCACUUGGGCCUUGUUUUGCAAUGUUGAUUCAUGAUGGUAAUGUUGGUUAACGUGUUGUUUAAACAUGAAUGUUUAAAGAGCCAUGUUGGAUACUAUGAAGUUGUAACUGAAUAAAAUUAUUUCAUGUAC